UACGUAGGGGGCGAGCGUUGUCCGGAUUUAUUGGGCGUAAAGAGCGUGUAGGCGGUUCGGUAAGUCUGUCGUGAAAUCCUGAGGCUCAACCUCGGGCGUGCGAUGGAUACUGCCGGGCUAGAGGGUGGUAGAGGCGAGUGGAAUUCCCGGUGUAGCGGUGAAAUGCGCAGAUAUCAGGAGGAACACCGGUGGCGAAGGCGCCACUCUGGGCCGAAACUGACGCUGAGGAGCGAAAGCGUGGGUAGCAAACAGG
rnacentral:rRNA from 1 species